ensembl:lncRNA
CCCUUAUAUCCCUGCAUAUCUCAUCUUUCCUUUAAGAACAAGGAAGAUACAAUCUGGCACGUUCCUUGGGUAAAAUAUGAAAGUAACCAGUCCCAAAAAAACUCACUCCAUAUCCUGGCAGAAAAUUUUCUGAAUAGAGAACUGAAAAUAGCAAUGAAAAGGAUUUGAAUGAAUGAAUGCCAUAUAGCAUUCCUAUUCCAAUGUUUUCUCUUCCUUGGGGGUUUCCAUCCACACUCACCUUUUCACCAACACCUCCAACAGAGCCAAUAGGGCCUGGGGGCCCGGGGAAGCCUCGAGGACCUUCGUCACCUUUUUGCCCAAACAUCCCUUGCUGACCUCUUGGGCCUGGCUCUCCAUCACCUCCCUGUUGGGAAACAAUGAAGAGCAAAACUAUCACAGCUCUGAUAAUAACAACAGGAAAAGCUCCAUGGAGAUGACUGGGAAACAGCGACAAAAGAGCUCAGAAUCACACCAAGUGUCUUUACAAAUGCAUGCUCAUCAUCUUGGCUGGAUGAAAUCUGUUGCACAAACAAAAUAACUGGUACUUCCUCGUCAGAACCUUUCAGAGGUGACCAAAAAGCCCUUUCUCCCUGCCCCAACAGGCAUCUGUCAGCACGUUGAAAGGAAAGCAGAUUUAAAAUGAACACAUUCUGAAAUUGACAGGGUUGAAUGACUGCAGUUGAGGGCAGAUUCAAGACAUGACUUCAACCGGAGUUACAUUCACUUCAACUAAGGCCUCAACACUGAAUCCUGUAUUUCAAGCAAAAAUGUGUAAUCGUCUCAAAUGCAUUCACCUUGAGACUGGGAGUCCAGGAUACAUUCUCAAACGAUAAUGCUGCAGACAUUUUAUUUGUAAAGCAGUUCUGCUGGAGCAGGCCCAAAUGCAUCAGCACUCACUAUGGGAACUGAGGUCACAGCCUAAUGCUCAGCAUAACUAGCUAUGCUAAAAUGAUCUGAAACACCAGAGCGCAGCUUGUGUUGUUUCCCCAUAUUUCUCUCAUGCAAAGCAUUUCUAAUGAAGAGGCAUGGCGAAGGGGACAACAGGAUAUGCCUGUGACCACAUGCAAAGCCUGAAGUGGAACUGGAUCAGAGGCUGGAACUAGCUGAUCCUAAAGUUCAUUUCCAGCCCAAGCCAUUCUGUGAUUCUAUGACCUGUGAUUUGCUUGAGUAUGUACAUAUCCUCCCAUAAACAUCAUCUGAUAAUAUGUAAGCCAUACAUUUGGUGUAAUUUUUUAAACUAAUAUACUGUUCUGCAACUUGUCAAUCUCAAAAAUCACACUGUUUUCAAGAUAAAUUUACUUAGCCAUGAAUACCCCUGUGCUGAGUUCAGAGCUUUGCUAACUGUGAAUAGUGUUGAAAUAUAACAAUCAAAGGGAUCUUUCUGCCAUUACUUCUCAAUUGUUUCUUAUGGAAAAUUAUUCAAGUAAAGUACCAGUUUAUAUUGAAUUUGAACAGAAUUGAAAACAUACCAUUUUGAGUUUUUAGAAAAGAAACCAAAAUAAAAUGGAAAUAAAUAAGUGCUAGUUUUAUUCUUUCUAGUUUCAAAUUUCACAGUGAAAAAAGCUUAAUUUUAUAUGUCUGGCCUAAAUAAAAAAAAGGAAGUGCUUGAACUUUAUAAUUUAUUUUUGAAGACGGAAAAAAUGUGAAAUCAAAACAGUAGAAACCUGAUUAGUCCUAGGUUCACUAAUAGGCCUAAUGAUAAAAUAUGAAAACUUGUAUAAGCCAUUUCAUCUGCCAUCAGUUAAUUGUGCUCCCCAGGAAUUAGAUAUCCUUUACAAAUUUUAAAACUACAUUAGUAGAUUCCUCUGCUGAGUCUCCACAGUUUCCAUCCUCAUGGCUAAGAAGCCACAGCUGGGAAUGUUCACACAGUGCAGUCAGUGAAGUUCAACACAGUAAGGGAAUGUAUGGGAAUUCUUGGUCUCUCCAGUUCAAAUGGAGAGAAUGGAGGAAUUUCAGUGAUACAGGAAGGGUGCUUAAGAAUGUAGUUUAUAUUUUGUAAUGAUUCUCUAAGCUCUAGGAAUAAGAGCAAUAAUAAAUACAUGCCUGGAUCUGUAAGUACAAACCUCUAGUAUUGCAUUAAAAGAACAUUAUUUUGAAAGAACAUUUUAGGAGUGUGUCUUUUUUUCUGCUCAUUUAUGUAGCAAAGCUACCUGCAUACUUCAUGCGUGAAUACCUUUUAUUUAUAAAGAAUAGAUGGAAUGCACAAAUAAUUUUGCUACUCACGUUUUCUCCUUUGUCACCUUUACUACCUUUCUGACCUGGUUCACCAAUUUCACCCUGUAAUUGAAAGUUAAAAGUUAAACUUGUUUAAAAUGGUCUUCUUCACACUUAGCUGAAGUCAAUGUCAUGGUAUCUCCAAAUGUUCCCUUUGAUAUGAUUAUUCUAUGUUUUAUGCUGCUGCUUCAAGUGAAAGCCUUAAGGAAGCAGUUCUGCAGUGAUCAAUAAUAUGUCAUAUUAAUUCUGAUAUUGAUUGCUGAAUUGAAAAGGGCAACAAGACCUGGCUUUGAAGUAUAAUGCUACUGAGCUCUAAAUAAAGGAAAUUGUGUUGCUUAUGUCACCUUCAAUAUGAACUUAUAAUGAAAGUAGUCUGAUUUACAGACUCAUGUAACUGUUUAUGCCUGAACUACUGCUUCUCACUGAA